CCAACACUGUUCUCAAACCCAGAGGAGAGCUACGGUCACUAGAGUGAAUCGAGGGCAUAUUCAAAAUGCUGUGCCUUUCUGAAGUUGAUAUUUGUUUUCCAUACUGCAAGAGUUGUACCUCCUUCUCUGAAGGCGACUUCAGUAAGUGAAUGGUAAGCCACUCAGACUUCUAUGAAAGAACUCCUUAAGUUUCCUCUCCUGUGCACAGCUAUGGCUGGGAUGACGUUAUGUGGUGGACUCACAUACAAGACCCUUUUGUGGACUUUCAAAGUAAAGCCAGAUGUUAGCUGCUGCUUCCACAGAGACUAAAUGAGGUUUCAGAUGGAUCUCCAGUUUCCAUUUUGUGUUGAUCAUGUCGCCCUGUAGUGAUGCUCUUGGAGAGGACUUCAGAGACCAGUCUCCCAGCAGUUCUCUGUGUACUGUGUGCAUUAGGAAAGGCCUGGGGAGGUAGUAAAAAUGCAGUUUCCCAGCCCAUUUCUAGACAUUCUGGUCGGCUGCUCAGUGAUUUCUUCUGCAUCUUUGAGCCAAAAUGGACUCUACUGUGGAUAUGAAAUGGGAACAACCAGCCCUUUCUUCUUGUCAACCCUCCAAAGCACUGAGUGACUCAUUCCUUAGUGGGAGGUCAUGUCCGAUGGGAAAUAAAUGUUAUAAUGGGC